rnacentral:rRNA from 1 species
UAGGGAAUCUUCCGCAAUGGACGCAAGUCUGACGGAGCAACGCCGCGUGAGUGAAGAAGGAUUUCGGUUCGUAAAACUCUGUUGUUAGAGAAGAACAGCGCAUAGAGUAACUGUUAUGCGUGUGACGGUAUCUAACCAGAAAGCCACGGCUAACUACGUGCCAGCAGCCGCGGUAAUACGUAGGUGGCAAGCGUUGUCCGGAUUUAUUGGGCGUAAAGCGAGCGCAGGCGGUCAAUUAAGUCUGAUGUGAAAGCCCCCGGCUCAACCGGGGAGGGUCAUUGGAAACUGGUUGACUUGAGUGCAGAAGAGGGAAGGAGAAUUCCAUGUGUAGCGGUGAAAUGCGUAGAUAUAUGGAGGAACACCAGUGGCGAAGGCGACUCUCUGGUCUGUAACUGACGCUGAGGCACGAAAGCGUGGGUAGCAAACAGG